rnacentral:siRNA from 1 species
AUCCGGUGAAGUGUUCGGAUCGC